AAGCAUAAAUGAAAACUCAUGAUCAAAUUCAAUCUUUUCUUUAACUCGCAAACGACCACAUAAACUGUCUGUUGCGUUGGAAACCAAUUCUGUACCAUCAACCC